rnacentral:rRNA from 1 species
GACGAACGCUGGCGGCGUGCUUAACACAUGCAAGUCGAACGGAAAGGCCCUGCUUUUGUGGGGUGCUCGAGUUGCGAACGGGUGAGUAACACGUGAGUAACCUGCCCUUGACUGUGGGAUAACUUCAGGAAACUGGGGCUAAUACCGGAUAGGAGCUCCUGCUGCAUGGUGGGGGUUGGAAAGUUUCGGCGGUUGGGGAUGGACUCGCGGCUUAUCAGCUUGUUGGUGGGGUAGUGGCUUACCAAGGCUUUGACGGGUAGCCGGCCUGAGAGGGUGACCGGCCACAUUGGGACUGGGCUACGGCACAGACUCCAACGGGACGCAGCAGUGGGGAAUAUUGCACAAUGGGCGGAAGCCUGAUGCAGCAACGCCGCGUGCGGGAUGACGGCCUUGGGGUUGUAAACCGCUUUCGCCUGUGACGAAGCGUGAGUGACGGUAAUGGGUAAAGAAGCACCGGCUAACUACGUG